UACGAAGGGGGCAAGCGUUGUUCGGAAUGACUGGGCGUAAAGGGCGCGUAGGCGGUUCGUUGCGUCGUGCGUGAAAGACCCCGGCUCAACUGGGGAGUGUCGUGCGAUACGGGCGGACUGGAGGCCAGUAGGGGGAUGCGGAAUUCCGGGUGUAGUGGUGGAAUGCGUAGAGAUCCGGAGGAACACCAGCGGCGAAGGCGGCAUCCUGGACUGGUCCUGACACUCAGGAGCGAAAGCGUGGGGAGCGAUCCGG
rnacentral:rRNA from 1 species